rnacentral:rRNA from 1 species
AUCGAACGCUGGCGGCAGGCCUAACACAUGCAAGUCGAACGAGUGGCGGACGGGUGAGUAAUGUCUGGGAAACUGCCUGAUCGAGGGGGAUAACUACUGGAAACGGUAGCUAAUACCGCAUACCAUCAGAUGUGCCCAGAUGGGAUUAGCUAGUGGGGGGGGUAAAGGCUCACAAAGGCGACGAUCCCCAGCGGGUCUGAGAGGGUGACCAGCAACACUGGAACUGAGACACGGUCCAGACUCCUACGGGAGGCAGCAGUGGGGAAUAUGGGACAAUGGGCGCAAGCCGGAUGCAGCCAUGCCGCGUGUAUGAAGAAGGCCUUCGGGUUGUAAAGUACGUUCAGCGGGGAGGCGUUACCCGAAGAGGAAGCAACGGCUAACUCCGUGCCAGCAGCCGCGGUAAUAC